AAUCUAUGAUAUUUGGUAAAUAUUCCGCAAUGUAAAAUCGUAAACAAUUUCAUGUAUAUUUCACAUUUCAGCAUCUCAAAUAUGUGGUGAUGAUGGCAAGUGCUACGGGAGUUCGGAAUAUAUUAAAUGUACUUCCAUAUUUUCAUCAAUAUAUAGCAAACAUUACUGCACGAAGGAGCAAGAUUGCUGCGGUAAUGGCUGCAUGCCCGGGGUAGCGUUUGCUGUUUAAUCAGAUAUUGUAAGAGUGGUCAUACUUGCUGUGGGGCUCUUGGCUGCUGUCCUCCAGGGACAUUCUGUAGCAGGUAUUCCUGCAUUUCUGAUAUAUUCUCAACCCAAAGACAUACAACGCUCACCCCUCGACCAACUUCAAAACCAAGGACAACCUCAAAGCCGGUUACACGUUAUCCUGCCACUAGACGGCCCAGUAGUUGGACAUCUGCUAGGUGAAUGUCUUCAAAAUAUGCAUAUUUUUCUUCACUGUUAAUGUUUUUAAAUGUCAAACAUAUAAAUAAACUGUUGUUAAAAAAUUGGUCAAAUAUUGCAAAUAACAUAAUAAUGAUAAUAAUACAGCUUAUUUGUAGACAUUACAUGACAACAUAUUUGAUAUCAUUUACCAGAUGACAUAUCUGUGAGUCUAAGCAUUACUUUAUAAAUGCAUUAUAUGCAUGUUCUGUUGUUGUCAAAACUUCUUAGUAAAAUUCACCUUUGAUAGGUCUCACGCAAUGGAAUUUGUUAAGCAAACAUGAAUCAUUAUAUUUCUACAUUUUGUGGCUUUUUGUUUCAGUCAAGCUAGGUUAAAAAAUAUCAAUACAUAAACUCAAAUAAAACACAAUACAAUAUUAACUACAUUUGUAUAUAAUUGUAACUAACAAUAUAAUAAUUAAAUGAGCCGUGUCAUGACAAAACCAAUAUAAUGGGUUUGCGACCAGCAU